UACGGGGGGGGGCAAGCGUUGUUCGGAAUUACUGGGCGUAAAGGGCGCGUAGGCGGCCCUCUAAGUCAGACGUGAAAUCCCUCGGCUCAACCGGGGAACUGCGUCUGAUACUGGAGGGCUUGAAUCCGGGAGAGGGAUGUGGAAUUCCAGGUGUAGCGGUGAAAUGCGUAGAUAUCUGGAGGAACACCGGUGGCGAAGGCGGCAUCCUGGACCGGUAUUGACGCUGAGGCGCGAAAGCUAGGGGAGCAAACGGG
rnacentral:rRNA from 1 species